rnacentral:rRNA from 1 species
UCGAGAAUAUUGCACAAUGGGGGAAACCCUGAUGCAGCGACAUCGCGUGUGGGAUGAAGAUCUUCGGAUUGUAAACUACUUUUCUAUGGGAAGAAUUUUUGACGGUACCAUAGGAAUAAGGGGUGACUAAACUCGUGCCAGCAGUAGCGGUAAUACGAGUGCCCCAAGCGUUAUCCGGAUUAACUGGGCGUAAAGGGUCUGUAGGUGGUUUAUUAAGUUCUUCGUUAAAUCUCUAGGGCUUAACCUUAGAGCUGCGGAGAAAACUGAUGAACUAGAGGAUGUUAGGGGCUGAUAGAACACUCGGUGGAGGGGUGAAAUCCGUUGAUAUCGAGUGGAAUACCAAAAGCGAAGGCAAUCAGCUGGGACAGUCCUGACACUGAUAGACGAAAGCGUGGGGAUAGAAAAG